AAAGUCGUAACAAGGUUUCCGUAGGUGAACCUGCGGAAGGAUCAUUAUUGAUUGCGAAUCGUUGUCUCCAGUGCUGGCCGGGUCACCCUGGCAAGUGCACGUCGACAGCUUUCAUCCAAUCCCCUGUGCACCUUSGGCCUCUUGCUAGCCUCGGCCGGCAGAGGAUUUUACACCGACUCGAAUGUAAUGAAAUUCCUGUUGUGCACACGCACUACUAUAUACAACUUUCAACAACGGAUCUCUUGGCUCUCGCAUCGAUGAAGAACGCAGCGAAAUGCGAUAAGUAAUGUGAAUUGCAGAAUUCAGUGAAUCAUCGAAUCUUUGAACGCACCUUGCACCCUUUGGUAUUCCGAAGGGUAUGCUCGUUUGAGUGUCAUUGUACUCUCACACUUCCGAUUUUUGGAUCGGGAGCGGUGGACUUGGGUGUUGCUGCGGUMCUGUGGCUCACCUCAAAUGCAGUAGUGCACCUCUCGGUUGGACAUAGUACGGCGUGAUAAGUGUCUUCGCCGGCACCUCCUCACAGAGGGUGGCCGAUCGGGAGCUCUGUGCUUCCAACCGUCYUCGGACAACGUUUGACAACUUGACCUCAAAUCGAGUAGGACUACCCGCUGAACUUAAGCAUAUCAAUAAGCGGAGGAAAAGAAACUAACAAGGUUC
rnacentral:rRNA from 1 species